CGGGGAGUGGCUCAAUGGUAGAGCGCUCGCUUGGGGUGCGAGAGACUCCGGGUUCAAUUCCCGGCUCCCCGA
rnacentral:tRNA from 1 species